GUAGGUGGCAAGCGUUGUCCGGAAUUAUUGGGCGUAAAGCGCGCGCAGGCGGUCCUUUAAGUCUGAUGUGAAAGCCCACGGCUCAACCGUGGAGGGUCAUUGGAAACUGGUGGACUUGAGUACAGAAGAGGAAAGCGGAAUUCCAAGUGUAGCGGUGAAAUGCGUAGAGAUUUGGAGGAACACCAGUGGCGAAGGCGGCUUUCUGGUCUGUAACUGACGCUUAGGCGCGAAAGCGUGGGGAGCAAACAGGAUUAGAUACCCUGGUAGUCCACGCCGUAAACGAUGAGUGCUAAGUGUUAGGGGGUUUCCCGCCCCCCUUAGUGCUGCAGCUAACGCAUUAAGCACUCCGCCUGGGGAGUACGGCCGCAAGGCUG
rnacentral:rRNA from 1 species